CUGGCAAAAUGGGAUGUUUCAAUGGACACUCUUUAAGAUCAAUGAGAAAAAACAUGCCGCCCUGUUCAGACUCUAGCUUUGACAAAAGCAUGGAAAUAUUAAGUGAAAACGUCAAUCGAAGACACUUUACAAGGCAGUUGGCAAAGCCGAAAUCAGACCCAAAAAAAGAAGAAUAUAAAGAAGUCAACAGGACACUGAAGACUAGAGCUGAUGCAAAAGCUGCAGAACAAGUCCAUGAAGAAAAUGGGGAUUUGGAGGUCCGCCGAAGCUGCAGGCUUUGACAAAGCCAUUACACCACUACAAAUCAAUCUGUUUUAUUUGACAAACUUAUAACAAAUACUGCAGAAGCAGUCUUGCAAAAAAUGGAUGACAUGGAGAAGAUGCAUAGACGGCGAAUGAUGGAAGACCUUGGGGUGUUCCACGAUGAGAACCUCGAUAUGUAUGCACAAGGAAAGAAAGAAAUCCAAAGAGCUGACAAAGAAAUAGCUGAUAAUCAAGGUGGCAUUGUAGUAGUUUCAUCAGAAGAAAGUGAAGAGAAAGAUGAUGAUGACGGUGAAGACACUCGAAAGCGUUAUGACUUUCGACAGAGGAAAACUGUUG